CGUGGAGACAGGUGGUGCAUGGCUGUCGUCAGCUCGUGUCGUGAGAUGUCGGGUUAAGUCCCGCAACGAGCGCAACCCUCACCUCUUGUUGCCAUCAGGUCAUGCUGGGCACUCUAGAGGAACUGCCCCGGUCAACGGGGAGGAAGGCGGGGAUGACGUCAAGUCAUCAUGCCCCUUACGUCCUGGGCUACACACGUGCUACAAUGGCCGGUACAAAGGGAUGCCACACCGCGAGGUAGAGCUAAACCCAAAAAGCCGGUCUAAGUUCAGAUUGGAGUCUGCAACUCGACUCCAUGAAGGAGGAAUCGCUAGUAAUCGCGUAUCAGCACGACGCGGUGAAUACGUUCCCGGGCCUUGUACACACCGCCCGUCACACCACGAAAGCCUGCUGUACUCGAAGUCGCUGAG
rnacentral:rRNA from 1 species